CGUAGCUCAGCUGGAUAGAGCACCAGACUACGAAUCUGGGGGUCGGGCGUUCGAAUCGCUCCG
rnacentral:tRNA from 1 species